GAUAAUACCUAAAGACCUUGUGGGCUGUGGCUUGUACUCAUAGACCUUAUACUAAGUAUACUUAACCGUGAAUAUUAUUGUUUUGUGAUAUUAUUAUUUAUUACCGACUGCAACGUCAACAACUGAAAGCUGGAAAACCAAGAAAUAUAGACAAUUUGAAACAAAAAUACAUUAGUCGGGAAUGUUCACAGAUAAAUAUAGAUGUUGGAUAAUUGAAACAGCAAAAUAAAUAAAUAAAAUACCCACAUUUAUAAUAUUUCUUGAUAUAUAUUAUACACUUGGAGCUGUUCAAUAAAUAUUGAUCCUAGAAAUACCUACAUGUGCACAGUCUGCCCAUGUGCUACAAUACCUAUUGUUUGUAUCAUAGUUAAUUGAAGUUCAUUCAUUAUUAAACUGUAUUUGUGAAGAUUAAAUACAACCACGGCAAAGUGACAAUGAUUGCUGUUAAGUGUAUCAUUACAUCAAUAAAUAAUGACUACUGGUGUUAGUUCUGUUAGCAUAAGUAUUUAUAAAUGUCUGUAUCAGAAUACUUUAGUCAACAAAAUGAACUUGAAACUGAUGAUUUAGCUGAUCGUUUUAUAAACUUAGAAAAUGAUCUUGUAUCUAAGCUAAAACUUCUGGAUUAUGGUCCGAACAUUGAUUUUAUUUAUAGUCCAUUAGAAUAUGCCUCCAAUUUGCACAAAGUAUUUUUACAAAAGUUUUUAAACUCAAACAUAAAAGUAUUAUUCUUAGGCAUUAACCCAGGACCCUGGGGAAUGUGUCAAACUGGUAUACCAUUUGGUGAAGUUGAAGUUGUCAGAAGUUAUUUAAGAGUAGAUGGAGAAGUAUUAACGCCAGCAAAGUGUCAUCCUAAUAGACCAGUUACUGGUCUGAACUGUCGUAAAAGUGAAGUAAGUGGUAGAAGAUUAUGGGAUCUUCUUAUUGAACUUACUGAAGACGAUCCAUAUAAGUUUUUCAACAAUUGCUUUAUUCAUAACUAUUUUCCUUUGGCAUUAAUGAAUAAAAAUGCUAAAAAUAUUACACCAGCCGAUUUAAAGAGUCUAUACCAAAAAAAGUUACAAGAAAUCUGUGACAAAUCAUUGAGUGACAUAGUUACUUUACUUCAUAUUGACACCAUUGUUGCUAUUGGAAAAUAUGCUGAAAAAAGGUCUAACGAAGUAGUAAAGAAUUUUAAAUUAAACAAUAUUAAGGUUGUACGAAUUCCUCAUCCCAGUCCCCUCAGUUUUGGCAGAGCAGAAGAUUGGAAAAAAGAGACUUUAGUUUUACUCAAAUCAUACAGUAUUCUCCAGUUGUUCAGAUAAAAAUGGAUUGGAGUGAUCAUAUGAAUAAGUCAUUGUGUUUAGCUAAAGAAGCAUUAGAACUUCAGGUCGUAACACAGUAAAUGAAACAAAAAAUGCAACUAGGCAUGCUGAAAUAAACUGUGUCGAUUCAAUUGUUCAGGCUGGCUUUUUAGAAAAACUAUCUAACAUAACUGUUG